GUUUUUUUUUUUGAGAUGGUGUCUCACCCUGUUGCCCAGGCUGGAAUACAGUGGCACGAUCCUGGCUCACUGCAAUCUCCAUCUCCCGGGUUCAAGCGAUUCUCCUGCCUCAGCCUCUCAAGUAGCUGGGAUUACAGGGCUUCAGAAGCUGAUGGCAUAGUUAUGAGAGGGGUGAAGACUGCGACUGCAUUUCCAACAGACCCUGAGGACAAUUGGGAAGAAUGCGCUGAAUAUUUUUGAGCAAUUUCUAUAUGAUAAGCAGUUUUUAGGCAAGGGGGAUGAGUCCAUAAGAUGACACUGGAAAAGGGGAUUGGCUUGAGUGCACCAGGGGGCCAGAGACAUGGGUCAUCCCUGGUGACGGGAGUUGGAAUGCUCCCCUGAGAUGGAGACUGGAAGUACAAGAAAGAAGAAAGUUGUUGUGAGGUCAGGAGCAUGGUGGCUGGAUAGAUCUUCAAAGUAUGAAGAGCAUUAGCUUUUGCGUCAGAUUGCCUAGGUCUUCCACCUAUUAAUUGGGUGAUUUUAGGACAAUGUCAUCAUUUGUGGCUCCCUAGAAUCAGACCUUAAGUCAAGGGUUGAGAACAAGUUAUUAAUUUAGUGUUGAUUCCAGGAAACACUGGCAGGAGAGUAGGGAACUGAGAAAGGAAAGGCACAGAAUAUAGGGUGGAUUAUUGAGCAAGUUAGCACAGUGGGAAUAGGAGCUGAAUUCUACUGAGGAGCCCUCAGAACAAAUGUAGAGCAUAUCUCCCCAGAGUUAUUCCACACAAUCCUAUCAGCUGUGGUUAAAGGUUUCUGCAGGGCGAGUUCUGGCAAUUCCAGUCUGCUCUACAGGCGGGCAGGGUGGACUCACUCAGGCAGAGUCACAGGUGUGGGUAGUUGGUUGGAAGUCUGGCUGGAGUGCAAAAGAAUGUUAAGAGAUGAAUAAAUAUGGGAAGGCACAGCUAGCACUCUUACAGAGAGUCCAUUAACAUUCCUGAGUCUGUUUCCUCAUUUUUAAAGUGGGAAUUCCAAGAACUAUUUUGGAAACGUUGAAAUGUAAGUGAAGGCAUUGGCUGGGAUCCAGGACCCCAAACACUCUGUCUUACCAUAGUAAGAGGUCUCAAUUCUGUCUUCCUAUACUCACUCUUCCUUUGGAAGUGUCCAUGGUGUAUGUUUGUGUCUAUGCACACAAACAAGGCUGAGAAAAGGAACACCCUACAACUAGAUGGAACCCUAAUCCUGUUCAGCUAAGACUAUAUAGAUCUGUGGGAAUUCUGUUGCUCAGAGAAGGCAAUCCUAACUUUGGGCAGGAGGUCUCUUUGGACCCUUUAACCAAGAGCCAUGCCAAAAUAUCAGCCCUCUGAUUCUCAAACUCUGAUACUGGGAAAAGGUAAGUCUUUUAGAGAAUUAACUAGAUAAAUGCAGUUAUAAAGUACCUAGUACAGUACCUGACAUAUAGUGUCUGCCAUAUAGUAGGUUUCUCCAAAAUGUGAAUGCAUCCUGUCUCUAUGCCUUUCUUCUCUGAUUUUCUUUAAAUACCGGGCAUAUCAUCUAUAACGCUGCUUUCCCAACUUCAGAUUAAGAUGACCAUGGGAACAGUCCCUGUGUGCAUAAGCAGUUGACAGAGGUGGAUGCUAAUUCAAUUAAUAGUAUCCAUAGGCCAGUGAGCAACCAAUGAGGGGACCUGGAGCAAAAGACACUGUCCAAGUGGGUAGAGAGUAACUAGCUAAAUCAAUGUGUCCAUCUCCCUUUUGGGCUGUAGACUGGAAAAUAUGGAGAGUGGCCAGUUAUUACGGGGUAGGAGGAGAGAGAGAGAGAGAUGAAGAGAGAAGAGGAGGCACAAAAGUAGCAGAAUAGGAGUCUGAGAGGGCAUCUGAGUCAAGAUAAGGUGAAGCUGGGGGCUAUGACGUAAGUGACACUCCUUUUCCAGGAAGCAGCAUAUACCUGCCCCCAACCCUGCCCAACAUGCCAAUGCCUACUAGUCCAAAGCCACCUGAGUCCUGGGAGCAGCAUUGCCAUGUGCGAGAGUAGUAGGGGCACUGGCAGGAAUGCACUCCAUUCGUCUCACUGGAUUAAGCAUCUACUGGUCCCAGAUCAGAUUGGCCUGUGUCAGCACCUUUGAGUGAAACACACGCCCCUCUGGCUUAUGUCACUUGCAUAUUUGACAACUCAGCUAUACUUAAGACAGCUCCCCAAAGCCUGCUCUAACCCUCACUGGAGAGCAGGCAGCUCACACUCUGGUGCUACCAUGUGUUACCUGGGCCCUGAGUUAGGAAGAGAGAUUGCCUGUGGUAUCAGAUCAUGCCAUGGGGAUUCUGAGUCCAUGCUGAGUGGGGUUUCUUUUCAGGAUUUCAUUCUGAGAAAGAAUGCAAAGGAAGAAUAUAGAAUUACACUAGCAGCAAAGCAGAAGGACAGAAGGGAAGACAGGAGUCAAGUGGGUUGUCAUAUGAUGAGGUCAGAGUGAAUAGAGCACUAACAAAACUAAGCGAGCAUCAAAUGGAUAUUUGCAAGGUCUAUGUAUGCAUGCAUUCAGAUACAUUUUAUCAUCUUUAUUUUUUAGAAUAUUAUUUCAUUAACUCUAAGUUUUGCAGCUUUUUGGGGUUUCCAAAAUGGGUUACCUCUCCUAAAAACAGUUGUACUUGAUUCAAGAUAUCAAUUAAAUGGGUACUGGAGGCAGCCAUGGCCACAGCCUCUCCUUUUGUUCCCUUUCUUUGUGAGGGCAAGUAUAGGUUGCACUGAUCCUGACCUUUUGGCCUGAGGAUGGAAGUCUUCAGUAUCUGUACAACUUUACUCCCAAGAGCUGGUGUAGAAUGAGUUCCUCUGGCCAUGGGAGGAUCGCAGAGGGGCACCUGCCACCAGCAGCCCAGCCUCAGCACUUUUCUCUUCAGCGUCUUCUUCAAGGUAUUUCCAGUUGCCCGCCCUGAACUGUUUCAGAAUGAGGAGGACACCUGGAGGAAUCUACACGUGCAUAGACCAAUUUGCAAAAGAACCUGUGAGCCAACGUAGGUUGUGAGAUGCAUAUCCCACAUCCAGUUCAGCCCAGUAACUUGGGAAAUGGGGGAGAGGUAGCUCUGAAGACCAGACUUAGUACAUUUUUACCCCCAUCCAUGCUUGCAACUGUAAGUUGAUCUUAAAUUAGUACUUUUAACCAAGUCAACCUCAAUCACUUGAAUAGGAUACCCAGCUGAAAAACUUGGGGUCACUGAAUCAAUCUCUUAUCUGUAAGAGAUAAUGAUGCCCACCCAAUGGGGUUCUGAAAAAUAUGUAAUGCCUGACAUGUAGUGUAUACUCACUGAAUGUGGCUUUUAACCACAACCUUUAUAUUUUUGCCGAGUAUCACCUUUCUGCAGCAACCGUGAGAACCUCGCGCUAAGCUUGUCUUAGAUUGCUCAUUCCUUUCCUAUAUUUAGACACCAAACUCCAUUCAUUUUCCCCUUGAAAUGUUCAUUCCCAUGAUCAAGAUUUUGCUUAAACACAUUUUGUUUUCAUGUCCAGAUUAUUACCUCAGCUGGAAGAAUUAAUAAGCAACACGUUCACCCAAGAAGUAUUUACUGAGCACCUACUAUGUGCAUUAUUUUCUGGUGUUGGGGCUAGGGGGCAAACGACUCUGACAAGUCUCUGUUCUCAAGGUACUCACAUUUAUAUGGAUGAAGAUAGAUAACAAACAAGGAAAAAAUUGGACAGACAAAAAAUUUAGGUGGUGCCAAGUAUGAUGCAAACACUAAAACAGUAAUGCAAUAGAAGAUGUCAGAGGGAGAGUGGGAAGGUUACGUUAAAUAGAUGUCCAAGGAAGAUCUCUCUGAGGAGAAGCUACUAGGGCUGAGAUCUUAAUGACAACAAGGAACCCAAGGGCUGGAAGCAGAGCGUUUUGAACAUGGCCAGUGGGUGCAAAGGCCAUCACACGUGAAUGGGCCUGGCCAGGUGGAAGGACAGAGGGCAAGGCUGUUGUGGUUGCCCUGUGAGUGCGAACGGCCCAAGAUGGGAUGAAAGAGGAGGUCGGGACCACACCGUAUAGGAAUAUCAGAUCAUGGUCAGGGCUUUGGAUUUUACAGGGGUGCAGUAUAAGCCAUGGGGAGUUUUAGACAGGUACAGAAGUAAUUUACAUUUUCUUUCUUUCUUUUUUUUUUUUUUUGAAACGGAGUCUUGCUCUGUCCCCCAGGCUGGAGUGCAGCGGCGCGAUCUCGGCUCACUGCAAGCUCCGCCUCCCGGGUUCACGCCAUUCUCCUGCCUCAGCCUCCCGAGUAGCUGGGACUACAGGCGCCCGCAACCACGCCCGGCUAAUUUUUUGUAUUUUUAGUAGAGAUGGGGUUUCACCAUGUUAGUCAGGAUGGUCUCGAUUUCCUGACCUUGUGAUCCGCCCGCCCCCGCCUCCCAAAGUGCUGGGAUUACAGGCGUGAGCCACCGCGCCCGGCCGUAGUUUACAUUUUCUAAAGCGUACUCUGCCAGCCAAGUGGCAAACAGACUUGGGCCUCUUAAGAGUGGAAGCAGGAGGAAACCCGAAGAUCCUGGAGAGAGACUGGUGGCUGGUACCAGUGGAGAGGGAGCAAAAAGGAAAAUACAGGAUACAAUUUCAGGAAAAAUUUCAUACCAAUUUCCUGAGGUAAUUUCUGAACUCGAACAUUUUCAGUGUCACCACAUUGUGUUUCCUGCUGAAUCAAGUCUACAUCACUUCGGUUUUUAAAGCCUUCCACGAUCCUUCCCUGAACACUGUAGUUUUCACUGAUGGUUGGCUGUUUCAAACUCCCAUAUGAUCCAUACUGUAUCAUUAAUAAGCAAGCAAGGAAUAACACACCCUCUGCUAUUCUGUGCAGUGUUUCAGGUUUUUAGUUUUCUCUUUCAAGAUAGAAAAUCCCUUUAGAGUAGGAACUCGGCUGGCACUUUCUUUCACAUCCUGCAUAGCACUUAGCAAAGUUCUGUACACAGGGCACAUGUGGAAAUUGCUUAUUGAUUGAUUAAAAGCAUAUAUCACUGGCAUUUGUAUCUUCAGUAUUUCUCUUGUAUGAAGAAGGGUGAUUAUCUGUCAAUAUUCAUUGCAUCAUUGAACCAAUGUACAAUGCAUUAAUCAUCACUGAAGAUAACCAGAUGAGGCUUUAUUGUAAUCUCCUUCUAUUUUGCUGAGAUAAUUUCACUUGCUUUAGAGUUUAUGAGGCCAUAAGUGGCUCCCAUCUGUUGAUGAACAUAUUUCUAAGAGUCAUUUAGUCUCAAGUAUGGAAUACUUGAGGGGAAGUUAAAUUGUAACUUUUAUAUUAAGUGUCAUCUUAGUAACAGAACCAAAAUUGGAAGCAUGUGUUCAAUUUUGGUUUUUCAUUUUCAAAGCUUUAGGUCAGGCAAAGAAUUAAUUUCAUUUGUUUACAAAGUAGAUUAUGCCUAAUAAAAUCUAUUUUGUUUAUGGUCACAUUUUAAUCAAUCCACUGCUUUAGAAAAUGAGAGAAUUCUGAUUGGCUAAUCAUUCAACAUAGUAAAUUACAUUAUUCCACAUCCACAGAACACUGGCCUAAUUGCAUUAUCCAGUAAUGAUAAAAAUAUUCCUUUUAAUACAUUUUGAGCAAGGCAUAUACCAGUGAUGAAACAGGGAAGAAUCUUGUUUAUUCCAUCCUUGUUUGAUGAUCGACCACAGAAUAUAACAUAACACUUCUGUGUAUAAGAAUUUUUUCAACAUUAAGGAUAAUAAGGACAAGGUAGUUUUCACUGGAUCCUUACUGGUACUCUGAAUUUUCACUAUUUGUCCGCAUUUCUUCUCCUUCCCGGAAAUUUGUUUUCUGCGAAAAACAAGUGCUACUUUGUCAAAUAAAGCUUAAAUAAAAUUGGUUUCAAUUUAUGCAUAAUAAAAGGAAUGCCUAGUGACUUUCUAUCUCUAGUGGGAGGUAGAAAACUCUCCAGGGUGACUUUAUUCACUCCAGAGGUUCUGGUGAGCACCAAGGAACAUUACCUCUGCAAAAUGCAGACAUACGCAAAAGGAUGCAUCAAAUUUAAGAGAAGUCCGUAGAUAGAUAUCUGAGGGAUCUGCCUUAGGGGAUGUAGACCAUAUAUACAACACGAAUUCCACAGAAUUAGCCUGGUAUUCACGAUCACUGUUUCUUAAAACAUAACUCUUUUAUGUUACCAAGCAACUUUUAUCUGAGAUGAUGACUACUCGAAUACUUCUUUUGCAUAUCGCCAGAAAAUAUCAAGUUUUCAUUUGAGUCCUUAAUUCAAGUUCUUUAUCACAAGAAGAAAGAAUAGCAUGGAUAAAAUGGUUUAAAGGUAGCCAAAAAAAAAACAAAACAUUGUAUUUUAGAAUGCAUAUUCAAACAUAUUCCAAAAAAUACUGUAUUUUAGAAUGCAUAUUCAAACAUGAUGACAAGUGGGCUCUGUGGCUCAUAUUGACAAUAGCUUUAACCUAUGAAGUGAGUGUCUUUCUAUACGGAGGUGAUGAGUUACUCAAUACUGAACGGCUCUACUAAAUUGUGCUUUUGGCUAUUAGAACUUGGCUACUGCCUUUCGUUGCUAUGUGUUGAGAGAAAAAUCUCAAAUGAUGAUGCUAACCAUUUUGCUAAUAAAAUAUGCUAAGCUGAAACAUUUCAGUUACUCAGUUCAUCUUCUGGUACAGAUGCUAGCAAGCAGAGAAGGUUAUGAUUUGAAAAACUCAACAGAAAGGAGGAAAAAGAUGAGAAAAAGAUUGACUAGAAAAUUAUUCAUGGAAUAUAUUUCACCAGCCUAUUGGGUGUUAGCAUCUUAGGUGGUGUGGUUAAUGCUAAUUUACAUUAAAUGGUAAAUUAACUAUUUUUAUUUUUCAUAAAUGGUACAUUUUCAGUACGGAGUUUCAGUAUUCCAUAUUUUCUCACAUGGGUACAUACACAAUGACACUGUUAUUACUAACAAUAAAGAACUUGUAAGAGAGUUUUUAGAAGUAACAUGCUUUUCUAAGAAACACAAAGAAAACAUUUUAUAGUGAGUGAAAAUGAAGGUUUUUACUUCAAAUUCUCUUUUUAUUUCCAUGAUAUUUCUGCCUGGGCUCUGCCAAGGAAAACUGGCAGUGGGCAACGGAUUAUGCCAAUGUAUACUUUUUUCCCCUCUGAGUUUUUAAUCUCUUUUCAGGUGACAAAUAGUUUUCUCUUAGACCAGAUUCACUUUAUUUUUCACUUACUUAAUUAAAAAAGUAAUUUACCGCUCAACAGGGACCCUGGAGUAUAUGUAUGCUCAUCUUCAUGGUUAAAACACUUUGAAAAAAGACAUACCACAUCAUAAAAAUCUGUAUUCCAGGGUCUCAGAACAGACUGCUUCAGUAUUGGUGUCAGAAUUGGGGGAUUAAUUAGGGUGGUCAUAAGUGAGAUCAUUUAAUUAAUAGAACAGCUUCCAGAAGAGGUGGGAGUGUAGUAUAAUUGUGGAGAGAAAGGAAUUCAGAAUGAGAUACACCUGGAUUCACAUUUGAGGGCUGCCACUCAUCAGCGGAGUGCCAUUAAGGAAAGAUAUUUAAAGCAUCCCAGAAUAGUGGCUGUUGCUCACACUGUAGAUAGCAUUGGAUUGCCUUAUUUAAUCCUGGCAUGACCACUUAUGCAUGCAUGAUUUUAGACGAACUAAUUCGCCUCACUAAGAUGAAUCUUUUGAUUUGUUCCUACUUCGCAGGGUCACUGUUGUGAGGUUUAAGAGAGAUAAUUUAAUGUAAAAUUUAGCAUAAUGCCUACACACAAAAAGCUUGUCAAGCAUUUAAUAAUAAUACCGACCAUUAUUAUUACUAAUGUCGUGCUAAAUGUGGCAGGACCUGAAAAAUUACUAAAUCUGAUUUCAAGCCUGAGUUUCCACCUGUAUAAAGUGGAGAUUAAAAUCCUGGUCCUCACAGGGUUGUUGUAACAAAACAUGAGAUAUGGAGCACUGAGUGAUUAGCACAAUUAUUGAUGGCAAUUAUUCAGAAGCAUUGAGUGCUUGAAUGAGAGCUGUCUGUAUAUUUGAUUGUGAAUAGUUCUCACAGUGUUUAUUCCAACCACUAUUUUCUUCUUGGUGGUCAUGCUUUUAAAACAUCUGAAGGCCAUAUUCUCAGCUUUGCUUUGUCUUGUCAAUCUAGAUACCUUUCCACAGGUACCCUUCACAUUUUAACUUUCUUGGCUUCCAAUUAAAGAGGCAAAGCCCAGCACUUCGACAUUUACACUUAAGUAUUUUCUAGGUAGAAGCCAUCUGACCUUUAAAAAAGACAUCUUUUAUAAAUUCUUCUUUGUUAACCACCAUUAGUGUCACCACUUUUCGAUCCUUUCAGUCCUUCUUUCAGGAUUUUGAAAAAGACUCGUAAAUUGGAUAGCUUUUCUAAAAGUGCAACUCUCUCAAUUCUGAAGGUAAUCUUAAAAGGGAAUUAGGGACAUGUGGGAUCUUUACUAGCUCCAUUAGUGCCAAACUUGCAAAGAGAAACUAUCUUUAAGUCAAAAUUGUCUCCUUGAGUGCGUGGCCAUUUUGAUAAGAAUAGUGCAAGGUAAUGCAAUCCCACUUUAAAUUUAGAAGUUCUAAAGUUCACACUACACUGAAAAGUCAUCAGUGAGUGGCACUGCCAUGCUUACAUUAGAGGAAAGAAUCAGGUACUCAAGUCUUGAACCAGGCAAACCAUUUAAUGUUCUGCAGGCAAUAUGGAUAUGGACAUACAGGUAAAAAGAAGAUCUGGAUCUCCCUGCCCUUCAAUUCUUUCAUUUCCUGACUGUGUGACCAUUAUUCAUAAUGACCAUGUGCAGUCUUGGCUUGUUCCUUCUGUUUUUGGUUUAGAAUCCUUACCUGGGAGGGGAAGGAAGGAUACCUUGUUCCUGCCUUAUAAGAAUCAAUGACACAGCAGGUUUGAACAUUCCGGUGUAUAGGGAGUAGACUCUAAAUUUAGCAGCCCCUCUAGCUACUAGAAUAAGAAUUUAGUGAUCUGAAGAAUUUACAUUCUGCCAGCAGUUGAUCGAGUUCUUAUGAUAUGCAAGGCCCAACGUUGGACAUGGAAAUGAACCAAACACAAUCUCUUCCCUUUAGGGCAAUACUAGGUAGUUUCAAAAAUCAUGUUGGGAUAUAAAUGAUUAGAAUAUAGGGUAGAAAAUAUCUAUAGCAAAAGGGCAGAGAAAAUAAAAUGGGGUCAUGGAAGAGAGUGAGAUUAUUCUUGGCUAUGUGAUAAAGGAAAGCUUCAUGGAGAAGGUAGUAUUUGAGUUAGGUCUUAUAUGAGUAAAUUUUGUACAUGAAGAGAAGGGGAUUAGUACGUUGAUGAAAUAGUUUUAUAAAGAACCAACAGUUUUAUAUAAAGGAGUAGAAUGGGAAAUAAGUCUAGGAAGGUGGGGAGAAUCCUCUCCAAAGGAGUACAAGAUCCCAAGGCUUUGUAUUUCAUACUCCAAGGUUAGAAACGUAUUGUAUGGCUUUCCAUCAGAAUCACAUAUUGAGUUUUUGAAAUUGCAAAUGUCUGAGCAGGAUCAUUCCCAACAUUUGUGGGGCCUAGAGCAAGAGCAUGAAUGGAGGUCCACAUACUAUAUGUCGAACUAUUUCAAAGUGUUAAAGGAAGCUGCACCCAAGACCUGGUCCUUGUUCCCAUCCAAGGGACUGCUUUGGGACUAGGAGGCUUAAGAAGCCCUGCUGUCCCUCAAGGCCAUCCUGCACUAGAGGCCUGAUUCAUUGCUUGGAACUUCACGGGGGAAACAGGACGGACCCUGGACUUAGCCUGGGGACUCGUGGGCAGGGCCUGCAUCUGCCCCCAUCAAGGAUGGAAAUGACUCAGUCCAGGUCUUCUGGUUACUGAAGGAAAAGGUUCUCCUACCUCAUGUUUUACUUUUCUGAUUCCAGAUUACCAGGAGGUUCUAAGCACCAGGUGAAACUAUACUCACCCACUCCAUACCCCCUCCCCAAGCAGAGGGGAAGGUAGAAGUACAGUUACCUGGGGAACACAGUCUGCCUAUAUAUCCUCCCACUUCAGGGGCUACUGGGUGGCUAUCCAGAAACUAAAGCAUCCCUUCUUUCUUUGAUUUCACAGGGCCCACACAGCCUGACCUCUCUCAAUAAGGGGAUUUCACUCUUUUUUUGGUCUAUCCCAUUUGCCCAGAUGACCCAGUUCAGCUGCUAUGUUCCUUUCCAUGUUUUGUGUGCUCUCAAUUGGUCAUGAAACUUUAAAACAUGAGACUCAGAAAAAAAAACCUGUCUUUGCAUGACUGUGUUUGUGAUGCUUGGAGACUCCUAAAGCCUGUGACCUUUCUUGGUCUCGUCUGAGGGUUGUGCUGUGUCUUAACCCAAGUCUAGAGCUACUGACCCAGAAUGUCUUGGGGUUAGGAUUGGAGAUGGGGUCUCAGGAUCUGUGUUAACAAGUUUCAGGGGUGACUAUAAUGCCCAGUCAGGGUUAAAAUCACUGUUAACAAUAGGGGAGGUUUUUCUACUUAGUUUUUAUUUCUCAGCAAGAUGAUAUUUUAAAAAGCAAACUGCAGGAGAAUGGAAGAUGAAUAGAAAGGUGGUGAGGCUAACAGGAGAGCCUCAGGAAAUCACCGAGCAAAUGAGACAAGGGCCUGGAUGAAGCAGGGGUUAUGGGUGGAGGUGAGAAGCUGGUUGGGAGAGGUCAACAGGAGAUCCCAUCAGAAGUGCCCAGUGCUCAGAGGGAGUGAUGGAGUCGAGGAUGACUCUGAGGUUUCCGGCUUGUUAUGGGUCAUAUUAUGUCCCCCAAACAGAUAUGUUGAAGUCCUAACUCCUAGUACCUAAGAAUACAACCUUGUUUGAUAAUAGGGUCUUUGCAACUGCAAUUAAGUUAAGAGAAGGUCAUUGAGGGAAAGCCCUAAGCCAAGAUGGCUGGGAUCCUUAUAAGAAGGGGAGGGACACAAAGGGAGGGCAGCCAUGUGUCCACAGGGGCAGAGAGUGGAGUGAUGUGGCUGUAAGCCAAGGAAUGUCAAGGAUUGCUGGCAAGCACUAGAAGCUAAAAAGAGCAAGGAAGGAUCCUUCCCUACAGGUUUCAGAGAGACUAUGGCCCUGCUGACCCCGUAUUUUGUAUGUGAGACAAUACAUUUCUGUUGUUUUAAGGCACCUGUUCAUGGUACUUUGUUUUGGCAGCCCUAGGGACCGAAUACAGAGCUGUAAUGGCCUGCACUGGUGUUGCCUCUCUCUGCACUGGGUCAUCAGUGAGGGCAAGCGUUUCUCGUAGACAGCACCUGUCUAUGAAUGUUCUCCACAGCAUAGACAUCCUCUGCACCAGAAACAGAGCCUCAUAUUCGGUGUUCCUCUUUGUUAUCUAGCUGCACAAACACAAGGUAUUAAUUCACUAAGGGUUUCAAUUAUCUGCUAUAUAAAAAGGCAUAAACAUAAAAGGUUUUAAUUGUCUUUUAUAUAAUAAGGCAGUUUCCAAAAAUUAAAUUAGGAUUUUUACAUUUAGUUUUCCCAUUCUCAUGCUGACCAUAUUUUAAUUUGAUUUCGAAAGCAUUUUUGGUAAUAUUUUAAAGUAUUAUCUUUCAUCUAGUAUCAUAAAAAUUAUUUAGAAAACCUAUAGAAGAUUUCAUCUCUACAAGUAACAUUUUUCAGAUAGGAAAUGAUUGCAGCAUUGAACUGCCAAAGAGACAGCUGAAAAAAAAAAUGGGUCAUGCAUUCAUCCCAUUCUAGAACAGAGGCUGCCAAGCAGUUCACUGCUCAUUUUUGUCCUGUUCUCGUAAACAAGCUGCGUUAACAAGUUACUUUUAAAAAGCAUACUAAUUUCCCCAGUGAAUUGCACAGGAAAGAAUCCAGCGUUCCCUCCAGAGGACUCAAAUAGUUGUUUGUUCUCAGAGCUCAGGUGUGGUAAAAUAGCCGUGGGCUAAAAGCACAGGCUGGAUAUUGGCCAGCAGGCUAGAGCUUCCCCUCCACUCCUGAUUUCUCACGUUGGUGAGAAACUCAUAGCCUGCCUGAUGUGGGGGGGAGAAAAGACUCGAUUUUCAAUUUCAAUUUAAUUACACAAUCCAUAGUGCCUAAUGGGAAGGAUUUAGCGGCAAGAUUAAUGCUCAGCAGCGCUCCAUUUUGCCUUUUUUUUUUGAUAAAAAAUACUGUAUGGAUUAUCUAAAGUGGGUUUUCAAAAAUGUUUUUCAAGAGCCAAAUUAUUUUGGUGGCAUAGUGAUUUGAAAAAGAAGGUGACUUUAUUUCUUGACUCUCUGCCAGAGUUUAUAUAAAUUAGAGGUAUAAGAUACCUUUUUGAAUUGUAUUGCCAGUGUAUCAUUCUUGAGAGUGGGGAGCACUUCUUUACUUGGGAGAAGAAUGAAUAGAAAUUUCACUGUAGGAUUAGAAAUAUAAGCAAUGAUUGAAGGAGACGACGAUCUGUUCUGAGAAUGACUGUAAAAUUAAAAUAUUAAGACCUUUCCCUCUUCAGUUAAAUCCUAAAGAAUUUCACUCUCUUAUUGAGACUGAAAACCAUUAUAAUUUUAUAUGGCAUCAGAUCAAUAUUUAAGAUUAUGAGUAAAUAUUUGGCAUUCUAUUUUGGUGUCUACAUAUUUUGUUAGUUUUGCUAAACGUAAAAAGAAGCUAAAAUAGGAAAUGGAAAUCUACCC
rnacentral:lncRNA from 1 species